GACGAACGCUGGCGGCGUGCUUAACACAUGCAAGUCGAACGGUGAAGCGCUUGCCUUUUUGGUGGGUGUGGAUGAGUGGCGAACGGGUGAGUAACACGUGAGUAACCUGCCCUCUUCUUCUGGAUAACCUCAUGAAAGUGGGGCUAAUACGGGGUAUUCCGGGUCUGUCGCAUGGCGGGUUUGGGAAAGAUUGCGCCUUUGGGUGUUUUCGGUGGGGGAUGGGCUCGCGGCCUAUCAGCUUGUUGGUGGGGUGAUGGCCUACCAAGGCGGUGACGGGUAGCCGGCCUGAGAGGGUGGACGGCCACACUGGGACUGAGACACGGCCCAGACUCCUGCGGGAGGCAGCAGUGGGGAAUAUGGCGCAAUGGGCGCAAGCCUGAUGCAGCGACGCCGUGUGAGGGAUGGAGGCCUUCGGGUUGUGAACCUCUUUCGCCAGUGAAGCAGGCCUGCUCCUGUGUGGGUGGGUUGACGGUAGCUGGAUAAGAAGCGCCGGCUAACUACGUG
rnacentral:rRNA from 1 species